rnacentral:rRNA from 1 species
GAUGAACGCUGGCGGCGUGCCUAAUACAUGCAAGUCGAGCGCAGCGGGGACGGUUACGUAACACGUGGAUAACCUCCUAUACGACUGGGAUAACUUCGGGAAACCGUAGCUAAACCGGCUACUUAUAGCUAGAUCCUCGCUGCAUUAGCUAUUUGGUAAGGUAACGGCUUACAAAGGCAACGAUGCAUAGCCGACCUGAGAGGGUGAUCGGCCACACUGGAACUGAGACACGGUCCAGACUCCUACGGGAGGCAGCAGUAGGGAAGCUUCCGCAAUGGGCGAAAGCCUGACGGAGCAACGCCGCGUGAGUGAUGAAGGUCUUCGGAUCGUAAAACUCUGUUAUUAGGGAAGCGGUACCUAAUCAGAAAGCCACGGCUAACUACGUGCCAGCAGCCGCGGUAAUAC